rfam:Prunus persica cultivar Lovell chromosome G2, whole genome shotgun sequence.
GAUGGCGGUGAUGACCCAAUGAAAUUCAAGCUCAACAGACCGGAAUGCAGGCUUCUCUUUCAUAGAGAAGUUUGCGUGUCGACAACCCCGCUGAACUGAGCCAUC